rnacentral:snRNA from 1 species
GUGCUCUCUUCAACAGCACAUAUACUAAAAUUGGAACAUUACCGAGAAGUUCAUGGCCCCUGUGUAAGUAUGAUAUGCAAAUUCGUGAAGCAUUCCAUAUUUUU